AUACGGAGGGUCUAAGCGUUAUCCGGAAUCAUUGGGUUUAAAGGGUCCGUAGGCGGAUUAAUAAGUCAGGGGUGAAAUCCCACAGCUCAACUGUGGAACUGCCUUUGAAACUGUUAGUCUUGAGUUAUAGUGAAGUAGAUGGAAUGUGUAGUGUAGCGGUGAAAUGCUUAGAUAUUACACAGAACACCGAUUGCGAAGGCAGUCUACUAAUUAUACACUGACGCUGAGGGACGAAAGCGUGGGGAGCGAACAGGAUUAGAAACCCUAGUAGUCC
rnacentral:rRNA from 1 species